CCUACGGGAGGCUGCAGUAGGGAAUCUUUCACAAUGGGCGAAAGCCUGAUGGAGCAACGCCGCGUGCAGGAUGAAGGCCUUCGGGUUGUAAACUGCUUUUAUAAGCGAGAAAUAUUAUGGUAACUAAUGACUAAGGAGCGGCUAACUACGUGCCAGCAGCCGCGGUCUGACGAAGUAUCCGCGCAUUAGCCGGCGUGACUGGGUGUAAAGAGUUGCGUAGGUGGACGAAUAAGGAGCGUGUGAACUCUGGGGGCUCAACCAGUCAGACUAUUAGGUAAACUGUUAAGCUCGCGAACGUUAGGGGUAACUGGAAUUUCUAGUGUAGGAGUGAAAUCCGUAGAUAUUAGAAGGAACACCAAUAGCGUAGGCAGGUUACUGGGUCGGGUCUGACACUCAGGCACGAACGCGUAGGGAGCAAACGGGAUUAGAUACCCUAGUAGUC
rnacentral:rRNA from 1 species